rnacentral:rRNA from 1 species
CAGCAGCCACGGUAAUACGUAGGUGGCAAGCGUUGUCCGGAAUUAUUGGGCGUAAAGGGCUCGCAGGCGGUUUCUUAAGUCUGAUGUGAAAGCCCCCGGCUCAACCGGGGAGGGUCAUUGGAAACUGGGAAACUUGAGUGCAGAAGAGGAGAGUGGAAUUCCACGUGUAGCGGUGAAAUGCAUUGAGAUCGGAAAGAACACCAACGGCGAAAGCACUCUACUGGGCCGACAUUGACACUGAGAGACGAAAGGUAGGGGAGCAAAUGGGAUUAGAUACCCCAGUAGUCCCUGUCUCUUAUAC